AUCACUUCUCGGCCUUUUGGCUAAGAUCAAGUGUAGUUGGGCCUUUCCCAAGUAUUGUAAGUUGGAAUCAUGUGUUGUCUAGUCCAUUUAUAUUGGCUUCUUUCACUUGGUAGUAUACCUGAAGAUUUGUCCAUGUGUUUUCACAGCUUGAUAGCUCACUAUUUCUUAGUGCUUAAAAACGUAU